GAGUUUGAUCUUGGCUCAGGAUGAACGCUAGCGGCAGGCCUAAUACAUGCAAGGCGAAGGGGCAGCAAUGUCACUGUCGUACGGGUGCGUAACACGUAUGCAACCUACCUAUCACAGGGGGAUAGCCUCUGGAAACAGGGAUUAAUACCGCAUAAAGCAGGGACUCCGCAUGGAGAUAUUGCUAAAGAUUUAUCGGUGAUAGAUGGGCAUGCGUCUGAUUAGUUAGUUGGCAGGGUAACGGCCUACCAAGACGAUGAUCAGUAGGGGGCGUCAGAGCGUGGUCCCCCACGACUGGCACUGAGAUACGGGCCAGACUCCUACGGGAGCAGCAGUAGGGAAUAUUGGGCAAUGGAUGCAAGUCUGACCCAGCCAUGCCGCGUG
rnacentral:rRNA from 1 species